CCCUUAGAUGUUCUGGGCCGCACGCGCGCUACACUGAUGCAUUCAACGAGUCUAAAACCUGGUCUGAUAGGGCUGGGUAAUCUUUUGAAUGUGCAUCGUGAUUGGGAUAGAUGAUUGCAAUUCUUCAUCUUCAACGAGGAAUGCCUAGUAAACGCAAGUCAUCAGCUUGCAUUGAUUACGUCCCUGCCCUUUGUACACACCGCCCGUCGCUCCUACCGAUUGAAUGUUCCGAUGAAUACCAUGGACUGGGAGUAUGAAUGGGUUCGCCUAUUUCCGCUUCUCGGGAAGUGGAGUAAAGCUUAACAUUUAGAGGAAGGAGAAGUCGUAACA
rnacentral:rRNA from 1 species